rnacentral:tRNA from 1 species
UCCCUGGAGGACUAGUGGUUAGGCCACGGCGCUCUCACCCCCACAGCCAGGGCUCAAUUCCCAGCCAGGGAA